rnacentral:lncRNA from 12 species
UAAAAUCUAGGCAAGUGAUUCUGACUGAUCAUUUUUACUCCUUCUUUAAAUAGAGCGGAAAAAUACAUGAAUUUUCACACAGGGAUAGAUGUCUAUGCUGGGGGUUGGCUUGUGCUAACAAGAGCAAGCUGGUGCUGCUCAGCACAACUCUGUCACAAUGGUCAGGAUCCAGGAGGGAAUGGCAGGACGGAGCUGGUGGCAAGCACUGCCCUCCACAUCCACGUACACAGCAAUGGUCCCUCUGUGUCAGAACGGAAUGCAACACGAUGUGAUGCACCAGCAGAUGUGCUCCC